AGCAGCCGCGGUAAUUCCAGCUCCAAUAGCGUAUAUUAAAGUUGUUGCAGUUAAAAAGCUCGUAGUUGAAUUUCGGGGUUAGUAGGUUGGUCAUGCCUCUGGUAUGUACUGGUCUCACUGAUUCCUCCUUCCUGAUGAGCCGUAAUGCCAUUAAUUUGGUGUUGCGGGGAAUUUGGACUGUUACUUUGAAAAAAUUGAGUGUUUAAAGCAAGCUAACGCUUGAAUACAUUAGCAUGGAAUAAUGAAAUAGGACGUUCGAUCCUAUUUUGUUGGUUUCUAGGAUUGACGUAAUGAUUAAUAGGGAUAGUUGGGGGCAUUAGUAUUCAAUUGUCAGAGAUGAAAUUCUUGGAUUUUAUUGAAGACUAAACUACUGCGAAAGCAUUUGCCAAGGAUGUUUUCAUUAAUCAAGAACGAAAGUUAGGGAUCGAAGACGAUCAGAUACCGUCGUAGUCUUAACCAUAAACUAUGCCGACUAGGGAUCGGAUGAUGUUUAAUUUUUAAUGUACUCAGUUCGGUACCG
rnacentral:rRNA from 1 species